rnacentral:rRNA from 1 species
GACAGAGGGUGCAAACGUUGUUCGGAAUUACUGGGCGUAAAGCGCGUGUAGGCGGUCCUGUAAGCCGGGUGUGAAAGCCCAGGGCUCAACCCUGGAAGUGCACUCGGAACUGCAAGACUGGAGUCUCGGAGAGGGUCGCGGAAUUCUGGGUGUAGAGGUGAAAUUCGUAGAUAUCCAGAGGAACACCAGUGGCGAAGGCGGCGACCUGGACGAGUACUGACGCUGAGACGCGAAAGCGUGGGGAGCAAACAGG